UUUCAACUAUAGUGUGGAUGGUCUUGUUUCGAUAAGUACUGUUAACCUAAAGCUACGGAAGCAGAAGCUACAUGCUUUCUUGUAAGGAAGAAGAAGAAGAUGAGUGCGGAUCCAAUCCCUUCUUCGAACUCCCAUAGCCAGCUCGAUGGGUAGAUUUCUCAGCUCAUGCAGCGCAAGCCCCUCUCUGAGCAAGAAGUAGAGACGGCAGAGACUGUAACGUGCAUGAAUGAACUAGUUCUUAUGAAGAUUCCAUCAAAGAGCCAUCUUUAUGUACCAGUUUCUGCAUAUCUCGACCUAAGUAUUUCAGAGGCACCGGCCUGGAUAAUUCAGCAAGUUCAUUGACAGUACUUAGAGCUGUCAAG